rnacentral:lncRNA from 1 species
CCAAUUCUAUAGUGCAACUCCUAUGUAUCAAAUUAGAGGCAAUUUUAGCCUUUUGCAUGCACGUCUAUUGAUGAGAAACAGAUAUAGAAUAGGUCAUUCAUACAUACCUCGUAAGCUUAUAUUGCCAUAUUUGAGACCCUUUUAUAUGUCUUCUAGAAUCUUUGAAUUUGAGUCAGGUACAUCAGAAGUCGAGACAUUAAAAUCAGGAAGCCCUCCGUGCAUCCAAGAUUUUCCCCAUAACGCAAUUGAAUUUCGAAAAGAUGCCUCAAAACCAAAAUUGGAGGCCCUGUCAAGAGGCAGUAAAAGAGGAACAACUUUUCGCCUUUGGCAAAAUGCCGCC